rnacentral:rRNA from 2 species
GGUUGCGAUCAUACCAGGACUAAUGCACCGGAUCCCAUCAGAACUCCGCAGCUAAGCGUGCUUGGCCGAGAGUAGUACUAGGAUGGGUGACCCCCUGGAAGUCCUCGUGUUGCAACAC